rnacentral:rRNA from 1 species
GGGUCAGUAGGUUGGUCGUGCCACCGGUACGUACUGGUCUCACUGAUUCCUCCUUCCUGAAGAACCGUAAUGCCAUUAAUUUGGUGUUGCGGGGAAACAGGACUGCUACUUUGAAAAAAUUAGGGUGUUUAAAGCAAGCUAACGCUUGAAUACAUUAGCAUGGAAUAAUGAAAUAGGACGAUCGAUCCUAUUUUGUUGGUUUCUAGGAUUGACGUA